rnacentral:rRNA from 1 species
CAAUAGCGUAUAUUAAAGUUGUUGUGGUUAAAAAGCUCGUAGUUGAACCUUGGGCCUGGCCGCCCGGUCCGCCUCACCGCGUGUACUGGCUCGGCCGGGCCUUUCCCUCUGUGGAACCCCAUGCCCUUCACUGGGCGUGGCGGGGAAACAGGACUUUUACUGUGAAAAAAUUAGAGUGCUCCAGGCAGGCCUAUGCUCGAAUACAUUAGCAUGGAAUAAUAGAAUAGGACGUGUGGUUCUAUUUUGUUGGUUUCUAGGACCGCCGUAAUGAUUAAUAGGGACAGUCGGGGGCAUCAGUAUUCAAUUGUCAGAGGUGAAAUUCUUGGAUUUAUUGAAGACUAACUACUGCGAAAGCAUUUGCCAAGGAUGUUUUCAUUAA